AUACCAUGGUGAGGGCACUCCUUCGAUCGUAUCUUUAAACCUCUCCCAAGCUUCAUGGAGAGAUUCAUUAUCUUGUUGGCGUGGGUUAUUAAUUUCUCCUCUCAGCUU